rnacentral:rRNA from 1 species
UACAGAGGGGGCAAGCGUUGUUCGGAAUUACUGGGCGUAAAGGGCGCGUAGGCGGCCUUCUAAGUUGAGCGUGAAAUCCCCGGGCUCAACCCGGGAACUGCGUCCAAGACUGGGAGGCUAGAAUCCGGGAGAGGGAUGUGGAAUUCCAGGUGUAGCGGUGAAAUGCGUAGAUAUCUGGAGGAACAUCGGUGGCGAAGGCGGCAUCCUGGACCGGUAUUGACGCUGAGGCGCGAAAGCCAGGGGAGCAAACGGG